rnacentral:rRNA from 1 species
CACGUAGUUAGCCGGAGCUUAUUCCUCAGGUACCGUCAAAUUCCUCUUUCUUCCCUGAUAAAAGAACUUUACAUUACGAAUAACUUCUUCGUUCACGCGGCGUUGCUCGGUCAGGGUUCCCCCCAUUGCCGAAAAUUCCCUACUGCUGCCUCCCGUAGGAGUAUGGACCGUUCUCAGUCCCAUUGUGGCCGUUCAACCUCUCAGUCCGGCUACGCAUCAUCGCCUUGGUAGGCCCUUACCCCACCAACUAGCUAAUGCGCCACAGGCCCCCUCCUUAAGCAGAUCUCUCUUUUAAAUAUAAAAAGAUUCUUCCUCUAUAUCCUAUCCAGUUUUAUCCAUCGUUUCCAAUGGCUAUCCUCGUCUUAAGGGUAGGUUACCUAUGUAUUACUCACCCGUUCGCCACUAAAGUACCCGAAGGUACUUCCGUCGACUUGCAUGUAUUAGGCACGCCGCCAGCGUUAAUCCUGAGCCAGGAUCAAAACUCU